ACAUGCAUACAACAUAGUGUUAAUGCAUGGGAUCCCAUUAGAACUCCGCAUUUAAGCAUGCUUGGGAUAGAGUAGUACUGGGAUGGGUGAUCGCCUGGGAAGUCCUAGUAUUUUGCAUUUU
rnacentral:rRNA from 1 species